CAUACCAUUGUCUUUACAUGUUGAAACGGAGUGCCGGGAUUACCGACACCCGGAUCUUUUUAUAAAUGUUCACGAAAUAAAUAUCAAGUUAUUUAUUUAACAUUAAAUAAAAGUAAUACAUUUAAUAAAAUUAUUCUGGGCCGCGCAGCUGGUUCGAAUAUGCGACCGCGGCAAGCGGUAUUGGACCUGAGCAGAUGCGAUAGAAAAUUGGAUACACAGUCGACAGCAGACUUAAGCAAACGAGCGUACCGACCGUGAUCACUUUACCAGCGGACACUUGUGAAUUCAUUAAGUACAUCGAGAAGAGUAAUGGAAUCAAGAUUGCAGUUAUCUAUAUUUAAAACUUGGAUUUUUUUUUUGGAUCGACCCAAAUCAAUUUUCCUCCGGGAGCCGGGAAUCCCCUUUUCAUUUCUACU